UAAAUUUGAAUAGAAUUUGGUUUUAAUAACAAUAUCAAUUGUUAAAAUUAAAAGGGAAAUAGGUGAAAAACCUAUACUGUUCCCGCAGCUGUGAGCUCUAUUAAAAGUUUUUCAUUCUUUGUCACUGUUUAUUAUUUUAUAAAUGGGAAGACGUAAAAUCUGGAGUAAGUCAGAAGACCUGCCAAUUUCAAAUUAGUCAA
rnacentral:ncRNA from 2 species